UAUCAUUUCUUUCAAGUUGCCACAGUGUC
rnacentral:piRNA from 1 species